UGGGGCAUAGCUCAGUGGGAGAGCGAGUGCUUAGCACACACAAGGUUCUUGGUUCAAUCCCCAGUACUUCUA
rnacentral:tRNA from 1 species